GACGAACGCUGGCGGCGUGCCUAACACAUGCAAGUCGAACGGGGCGGUCAGGUAGUAAUACUUGGCUUGCCUAGUGGCGAACGGGUGAGUAACACGUGAGCAACCAAACCCCAGAGUUGGGAUAACCCCGGGAAACCGGAGCUAAUACCAAAUACCUUCUUUAUCUCGCAUGGGAUUCUGAAGAAAGAUUUAUCGCUUUGGGACGGGCUCGCGGCCUAUCAGCUUGUUGGUGAGGUAAUGGCUCACCAAGGCUUCGACGGGUAGCUGGUCUGAGAGGACGAUCAGCCACACUGGGACUGAGACACGGCCCAGACUCCUACGGGAGGCAGCGAGUGGGGAAUCGUUUGCGGCAAUGGGGCGAAAAGGCCUGACGGCAGCAAACGCCGCGUGGAGGAUGACGGCUCUCGGGUUGUAAACUCCUUUCAGCAGGGAAG
rnacentral:rRNA from 1 species